rnacentral:rRNA from 1 species
ACGGUCCUAAGGUAGCGAAAUUCCUUGUCGGGUAAGUUCCGACCUGCACGAAUGGCAUAACGAUGGCCACACUGUCUCCUCCCGAGACUCAGUGAAGUUGAAAUGUUUGUGAUGAUGCAAUCUCCCCGCGGCUAGACGGAAAGACCCCAUGAACCUUUACUGCAGCUUUGCAUUGAACUGUGAACCGAUUUGUGUAGGAUAGGUGGGAGGCAGAGAAGAGGCCACGCCAGUGGUCUUGGAGCCGACCUUGAAAUACCACCCUGAUUUGUUUGCGGUUCUAACCACGGACAGUGAUCCUGUCUUGGGACCGUGCAUGGUAGGCAGUUUGACUGGGGCGGUCGCCUCCUAAAGGGUAACGGAGCAGUACGAAGGUACGCUAGGUACGGUCGGAAAUCGUGCUGAUAGUGCAAUGGCAAAAGCGUGCUUGACUGCGAGAGCAACAACUCGAGCAGAUGCGAAAGCAGGUCAUAGUGAUCCGGUGGCUCUGAAUGGAAGGGCCAUCGCUCAACGGAUAAAAGGUACUCUGGGGAUAACAGGCUGAUACCGCCCAAGAGUUCAUAUCGACGGCGGUGUUUGGCACCUCGAUGUCGGCUCAUCUCAUCCUGGGGCUGUAGCCGGUCCCAAGGGUAUGGCUGUUCGCCAUUUAAAGAGGUACGUGAGCUGGGUUUAAAACGUCGUGAGACAGUUUUGUCCCUAUCUGCCGUGGGCGUUGGAAGAUUGACGGGGGCUGCUCCUAGUACGAGAGGACCGGAGUGGACGGACCAAUGGUGUACCAAUUAUCCCGCCAGGGGUACAGUUGGGUAGCUACGUCCGGAAAAGAUAAACGCUGAAAGCAUCUAAGCGUGAAACUUGCCUUAAGAUGAGGUCUCCCGAAGCGAAAGCUUGAAAGACACCUUGAAGAUGACGAGGUUGAUAGGCCAGGAGUAGAAGUUCAGUAAUGAAUGUAGCGUACUGGUACUAAUAUGUCGAGAGCUUAACUU